GCCAUUUCCUGUUCUGAAGCAGAAGCAUCACCGAGCACAGAGGAGAGCCCAGGCCAGAGCAAGAGACUUCUCACCCUGCAGGGGAGAGCUAUCAGCAUGGCACUUGUUAGCUUGCUGUGGGCGGUCGUGGUCUCCACCUGUCUUGGAUCCAGCAUGGCCCAGACGGUCACUCAGCCUCAACCAGAAAUGUCUGUGCCCGAGGCAGAGACUGCGACCCUGAACUGCGUGUAUGACACUAGUGAGAGUAAUUAUUAUUUGUUCUGGUACAAACAGCCUCCCAGCGGGGAGAUGAUUCUCAUUAUUCGCCAAGAAGCUUAUAAGCAACAGAAUGCAACAAAUAACCGCUUCUCCGUGAACUUCCAGAAAGCAGACAAAUCCUUCAGUCUCAGGAUCUCAGACUCCCAGCUGGAGGAUGCUGCAGUGUAUUUCUGUGCUUUCAUGAGGGCACAGUGAAGCAAGCAACAGGGAGA